rnacentral:rRNA from 1 species
CCAGACUCCUACGGGAGGCAGCAGUGGGGAAUAUUGGGCAAUGGGCGCAAGCCUGACCCAGCAACGCCGCGUGAAGGAAGAAGGCUUUCGGGUUGUAAACUUCUUUUAAGAGGGAAGAGAAGAAGACGGUACCUCUUGAAUAAGCCACGGCUAACUACGUGCCAGCAGCCGCGGUAAUACGUAGGUGGCAAGCGUUGUCCGGAUUUACUGGGUGUAAAGGGUGCGUAGGCGGUCCGUUAAGUCAGCGGUAAAAUUGCGGGGCUCAACCCCGUCGAGCCGUUGAAACUGGCAGACUUGAGUUGGCGAGAAGUACGCGGAAUGCGCGGUGUAGCGGUGAAAUGCAUAGAUAUCGCGCAGAACUCCGAUUGCGAAGGCAGCGUACCGGCGCCAGACUGACGCUGAGGCACGAAAGCGUGGGGAUCGAACAGGAUUAGAUACCCGUGUA